AAUAGAUACCCCGGUAGUCCACGCCGUAAACGAUGUCGACUUGGAGGUUGUGCCCUUGAGGCGUGGCUUCCGGAGCUAACGCGUUAAGUCGACCGCCUGGGGAGUACGGCCGCAAGGUUAAAACUCAAAUGAAUUGACGGGGGCCCGCACAAGCGGUGGAGCAUGUGGUUUAAUUCGAUGCAACGCGAAGAACCUUACCUACUCUUGACAUCCAGAGAACUUAGCAGAGAUGCUUUGGUGCCUUCGGGAACUCUGAGACAGGUGCUGCAUGGCUGUCGUCAGCUCGUGUUGUGAAAUGUUGGGUUAAGUCCCGCAACGAGCGCAACCCUUAUCCUUUGUUGCCAGCGAUUCGGUCGGGAACUCAAAGGAGACUGCCAGUGAUAAACUGGAGGAAGGUGGGGAUGACGUCAAGUCAUCAUGGCCCUUACGAGUAGGGCUACACACGUGCUACAAUGGCAUAUACAAAGAGAAGCGACCUCGCGAGAGCAAGCGGACCUCAUAAAGUAUGUCGUAGUCCGGAUUGG
rnacentral:rRNA from 1 species